AUUGAACGCUGGCGGCAGGCUUAACACAUGCAAGUCGAGCGGAGAUGAGGUGCUUGCACCUUAUCUUAGCGGCGGACGGGUGAGUAAUGCUUAGGAAUCUGCCAUUUAGUGGGGGACAACAUUCCGAAAGGAAUGCUAAUACCGCAUACGUCCUACGGGAGAAAGCAGGGGAUCUUCGGACCUUGCGCUAAAUGAUGAGCCUAAGUCGGAUUAGCUAGUUGGUGGGGUAAAGGCCUACCAAGGCGACGAUCUGUAGCGGGUCUGAGAGGAUGAUCCGCCACACUGGGACUGAGACACGGCCCAGACUCCUACGGGAGCCAGCAGUGGGGAAUAUUGGACAAUGGGCGGAAGCCUGAUCCAGCCAUGCCGCGUGUGUGAAGAAGGCCUUUUGGUUGUAAAGCACUUUAAGCGAGGAGGAGGCUACUAGUACUAAUACCACUGGAUAGUGGACGUUACUCGCAGAAUAAGCACCGGCUAACUCUGUGCCAGCCGCCGCAGUAAGAC
rnacentral:rRNA from 1 species